rnacentral:rRNA from 1 species
AUGGCAGCACCGCAGACGGCUACAGCGUCGGCAUGCAUCCCGGAGACGGCGUGGGGCACGCACGUGUUCACGGUCGCCGGAUACAGGCUGCACAAGGGCCUCGGCGCCGGCAAUUUCAUACGAUCCGCCACCUUUGCCGUCGGCGGCUACGACUGGUGCAUCCGCUAUUACCCCGACGGAUACAGUGCCGACACCAAAGACUAUGUUUCAGUGUGCGUCGAGCUGCAGAGCAGGAAAUCCGUGGUCAGGGCUCUCUACAACCUGAGCCUCACCAACCAGGCCACCGGGAUGCCGUCCUUGAUCUUCUCCCGGCCGAGGUCACUUCCGGCGUUCAACUCCCGCAAGAAGGACAAGGACAUGCAUGUCAAGGGGGCUAGCUGGUUCAUGAAGACGGAGCUCCUCGAGGCAUCCCCGUACCUUCAGGAUGACUGCAUCGUCAUCCACUGCGACAUGACUGUUGUCCUCAGGGAUAUACCUGCCGUCGCCAUGGCCACCACAAAGGCCCCGGAGAUCCAGCUGCCGCCGUCGGACCUGUCCAACAACCUCGCAAAGCUGCUUGAGGGGAAGAAAGGAGCGGAUGUGAGCAUCAAAGUCAGUGGGCAGACCUUCUACGCACACAAGCUCGUGCUCGCGAUGCGGUCACCCGUCUUCGAUGCGGACCUCAACGGGCCAAUGUGGGACAACGAGAAACAGUGCAUACACAUCGAGGACAUGCAACCCGCUGUUUUCAGGGCAUUGCUCCACUUCGUAUAUACAGACUCGUUGCCAGCUGCCAUGGAUGAGAACAAGGAGAUGAUGAGGCACUUGCUUGUGGCUGCAGACAGGUAUGCCAUGGGAAGGAUGAAGCUCAUGUGUGAGAUUAUUCUCUGCAAGACCCUCGAUGCCAAGAGUGUCGUGGCCACUUUGGCUCUAGUUGACCAACAUGGUUGCAGCAAGCUCAAAAAAGCUUGCAUUGAGUAUAUCAAAAUCUUCAACUAG